rnacentral:lncRNA from 1 species
GCCAAGACUAAGAGCCAGGAUCAACUCACUCCCUGACCAUCAGCUUUUAAGGUGUGUGUGUGUGUGUGUGUGUGUGUGUGUGUGUGUGUGUGUGUGUGUGUGUGUGUGUGUGUGUGUGUGUGUGUGUGUGUGUGUGUGUGUGCUUUGAGAGAAACUAAAAAUUAAAGACAACAAAGAUCCAGCAAAGAUACGUGCCAUCUGCAGUUACACAAGGUGCAGGCAGGGUAUAUCUGAUUUCCUCGUCAUCAUGAAGAAUAAUGCUGUUUGUCUUUCUGCAAAAACAUCCUCUGUAGAUGGUGGGAACAUUGGCAGAGAUCCUGCCCUUGGAUCAGUGAACACACAGCUGUAGUCUGCAGCAUGUAGAAGCUACUCCCAGGCAGCUGCACACUCUUCUCUCUGCAUCUCAUAUACAGAAGGGCCAAAAAUGAUGAUUCAAGGUGAGUGUGUCGUGUUGUAUUACCAUGUUCUGCUUUAUUUGUAAUGUUUGAAAGAAAGGUCAUAUAUAGCAAUGGCCACUAUGACGUACUUUCAGAAAGAAAUAUCAGAGUUGUUCAUUUUAUCAUUUUUAAAACUAUAACAUUUUAUACAGAUUGGAUCAGAAUGAUGUAAUGUGAUGCAUUGUUAUGUUUAAGUUACUACAAAUGUUACUGAUUCCAUAAGUAAAGACUCAAUGAUGUUAGGAUAAUAGUGUCCAUUAAGCAUAAUCUGAACCCUUUUGUGUCAACAAUUGUAAAAAUUUCAGUCACAUGACUUAAUUUCAGUUAAAUUUUAGUGUCAGUUAUUGUAUUGGUAAAAUGUUGUUUUAUGGUCUUUGCAUUUUUCAGAAACUGGCUGUAAUUUCCAACAGUUUGAAUCCUUAAAUCACUACUUUGUGAUACAUGGCAGGUGUUACUAGAACUGACAGAUCAGGGUUCAGUUCCCCUCCUCUCCACUGAGUAUUUUGACACCUUACAGCUAGUGUCUUGGUUUAGUCACCAACAAAAGUAUUCCUUCAUGUUCAGGGGCAAUAGUUGCAGAAUUGCUGCAGCUGUUUUUAAAGGAUACAAUUGUAAAAAAAGUGAGCUAUCCUCCCAGCACUGACACAGUUUGGGGUUAGUUUUCUGGACUAGUUAACCGUUAAACAGCUGUGUUAUACUCUCAGAUGGUAGGUCAUGUGAGUGGAAGGAAAAAAAAGACGUGAAUUCUCAAAAAUGAGGAGAACAUUUAUUAGGCCAUAUCGAAAUAAGAAAAAAAAAGUCAAAUUAAUUAAAUACUUGGCAAAAAUCUCCCCUGCAGAGGAAGACAAAAAUGAAACAUUAGUCCAACAUAAGUCCAACAAACUGGCUCUCCUCACAGCCUCACAUCUAAUGUGCCACACAUCACCCAGACUGCUGAAUUCACUCAGCUCAUAUACUCUGCUACCUGCAGCUUUAAUCACAGCCUCACAGAAUUCAGGUGUGUCCACUCUUACCUGCAAACAAUCCAAGUGAGAGAAGCUGCAGCAAUAACAAAAGGGAAAACAGAUCUGAAAACAGAAUUCCCCCAAAGGGAAAAAAACUUCACACUCUAUAUUUAGAAUGAAAUGUAAACAUCAUAUGCAUUUAAUAUAUGCUUCAAACCAACAUUGCUGGGGUGCUAGAGGAAUGUGCACCCUCCUUUAGCCUUAACAAUAAUUGGUGAGGACUCUAUGGCUUCAUUACUAACUGGUUAUUAUUAUUCUUAUCAUUGUCAUUAUUAUUACUCAGGAGGGGAGGCUUGAAACAAAACUAAAAGAGAGUGCGUCAGGAAAAGAGAUUAACAAAUCCUAGUUCAAACUUUUUCUUCGUAUCUAUUUGAUCAACAGCAACUAUUUGAUUCCAAUGAGACAUUGUCCAUCUCUAUGUUGCACCGAAGUGGCCUAUACAUCACAGCAGAGCAGGUUGAUGCAGUUCUGAUCAUUUUAGAGGUCUCCAGAGCUGAAAUUAUCACAGCACAAGAUCGAAUCCACAACAGAAGUUAAAAAUUUAACACUAAUUUUUGAUAUUAACAUCCUGUCAACUGUCUGACAACAACUUAGUAGUUAGAAGACACUGCUGUAGUGGUAUCUUGCUAUGCAGUUGGGUUUAUCUAUUCAGAUUGUUUGGGAAUCUGCCUUUGUGAUUUCUGAUUCAAUGCUAAUCAACUAAAAUGUAUUAAUAUAUGAAAACAAGAUUCAAAGCAACAUCUCCAACAAAAUGAUCCUGUGUCCUGAUUAGUCUUCAUGAUCCAGACGGUGACUAAAACGAGCUUUUUUUUGUGUGGAAAUGGUCCAAAUAGAAACUGAUGACUGUUUCUUAAAAGAUGUUUCUCUGUUUACUUUUUUCUUAUUCGUGUGGAGCAAAAAUCUCCAUGCAACAUAGUGAACAGUCAUGCAAAGCUACCACUCACCAUAAAUGCUCAAAUGUAGGGUGGGGGGAUCUUCUGUCUGACCUGUCUGCCCAGUGUGUGUGUCCCUUUAAUAUUAUCCCUGACUCCCUCUCCUCAGGGAGGGAGCGCUUGGUUUGUUGACGAGAGAGGAGGCACUGCAGUCACACCAAUGUUACAAAGUAGGUCACUUAUCCCACGUUUCACUGCGUGCCCAAAGCAGAUGGGUGACAGCGGUAAUUGGCAUCAGGGGCCGACAGCACGCUGUGAUGGCUCUCUCUCCUGAGAGACCGCAUCCACCUUUUCUCCUGCUGUCUGCCAGAACCAAAGUUAAAAAAGACCCAAUCCACCUCACUGCUCUUUGUCACGAACACAAGAACAAAAGGUCACAAUGUGUCACAGAUUAAAUGUUUUAAGCUUCCUCAGCAGGACUCGAGGUAUGCCAUUUAAAGCCUGCGUCAUCUUUUUAAAAUAGCAUUUCAUUUUAAAAAAGUUUAUCUGGACAGAGAAUAGAUAAGGACUUGAUGACACAAAAGGAUGCUUGACAAUUUACGAAUGAUAACAUGAAGAAAUGCUGAAAAUGAUAC